UGUUCACAUCUGCAUUGUAUGGACUUGGUAGUUAAUGCCUUCAGAACAUCAUUUCAAUACAGAGCACCCAGAGAUCCUCAAGACUGAAUCAGAUAUGAUUAAAGUCAAAUAAGGAAAUGUUCACAUCUGCAUUGUAUGGACUUGGUAGUUAAUGCCUUCAGAACAUCACUUCAAUACAGAGCACCCAGAGAUCCUCAAGACUGAAUCAGAUAUGAUUAAAGUCAAAUAAGGGUGGAACACCUGGUUGACCUACGUCUGGUGUGUAGGUCCUCCCUCCACCCUGGGUGGUUAUGGGGGAACUGAUCACUUCCUGCCCUCCUCUCCAAGGCUGUAUCCUCCAGGUGUGUCUCUGACUGCUCUAUAACAGCUCCCCCAGCUCUCUAAUCACAUGACCAACAGGCUGCUGGAGAGCCUUCAUUUGUGUCCAGCUGGUCUACUGCUAGGGCCCCU